rnacentral:lncRNA from 10 species
UCCUGGAGACCCGGCCCCUCCUGGUACAGAAUCUACGUCUGAGCAUGGACGGAAUCCCAGAAUCAAAUCACUGGAUCAAUACUUGGUCACCAAACACAUUCGAGACCUCAAAAGCUCAAAGGCUGUAGGGUAGGUACCCUUGCUACCUACUCUACCUACAGACAAAGACGCUGAGAAAUCAGAUAACUUGUCCAAGGUCAUGGACAGCUGGGACUAGACCCAUGGCUUGUCACACUCUACCAGCCUUAUUCUUAACCUCUCUGCCUGAUGCCUCUUGACCCACAUUCGACUUUGAAAAAGUUUUCGCACUUGGUUCAUCGGAAAAAGCCACACACAGCUGCCCGGAGGACUCUGUUAAUCAGUAGCUGGUUGCUUCUGGCCCAGUGGGCAACAUCAGAGGCAGAAAGUACAGUACAGAGAGAACCGCAGGCCAGCAGUUGCAUCUGAACCCACGCUCUUCCUCCCAGCCCUUUCCCUUGUCUUGACUCACAACCUAGUGUCCUCAGUAUCGCCCAGCACGUGAGGCAGCCGGUUCACUCCAGCCUUGACCAGGGCCAUCGCGGGAUCAGAGCCUCCUCUGUGAGAAUUAGAAAACAGUAUCUCUUCCUCAAGACCCUUGACUGCUAGGAAAUUGACACCAAAAACAUACAAAUCUACAAUGUCCAGUAUGUAGGUGAUGUGAAUGGCUGUCUCUUCAGUGUGCAGUGUGUACACCCUGCGCACCUAUACAAGGCAGCCCUGUCCAGGCCUCCAGACGUCCCAGUGCCACUGCCUGCUGUCAUGGGGUUCUAAUCUAAAGGGUGAGAUGCCAGUCCCGGGAGAAGGCUAAUGAUGAAAGGUUCCAGGAUAAAGGUUAAUAUACAAAAGUCAAUUACUUUCCUAAUGCCAGCAAUAAAGUGGAAUUUGAAAGUAAAAACAUAUUACCAUUUACAUUAGCAUCCCUCAGAAUUAAGGCCAGGCACAGUGGUUCACACCUGUAAUCCCAGAGUUUGGGAAACUGAGGCAGGUGGAUCACUUGAGGUCAGGAGUUUGAGACCAGCCUGGCCAACAUGGUGAAACACCAUCUCUACUAAAAAUACAAAAAUUAGCUGGGUGUGGUAUGUGUGUCUGUAGUCCCAGCUACUUGGGAGGCUGAGGCACAAGAAUCACUUGAACCCAGGAGGCAGAAGUUGUGGUGAGCCUAGUUCACGCCAUGGCACUGCAGCCUGGGUGACAGGGAGAGAAUCUGUCUCAAAAAAAGAAAUGCCUAGGUAUAAAUCUCACAAAAUAUGUACAAGAUCAGAGGAAAAUGAUAAAGCUCUGAUGAAAGGAAUCAAAGAACAACUAAAUAAAUAGAGAAAUAAUCCAUGUUCAUGGAUAGGAGACUCAAUAUUGUGAACUGAGCC